rnacentral:rRNA from 1 species
GACGAACGCUUGCGACGUGCCUAAGAAAUGCAAGUCGAACGGGGUGGCAACACCUAGUGGCGAACGGUCGCGUAACACGUGGGCAACCUGCCCUGAAGCGGGGGACGAACAACUCGAAAGAGUUGCUAAUACCGCAUGUGUAUCGGGAUGGCAUCAUCCAGGAUACAAAGCCUUCGGGCACUUCAGGAUGGGCCCGCGGCCUAUCAGCUUGUUGGUGAGGUAACGGCUCACCAAGGCUUCGACGGGUAGCUGGUCUGAGAGGACGAUCAGCC